rnacentral:rRNA from 1 species
AGAGUUUGAUCAUGGCUCAGAUUGAACGCUGGCGGCAGGCCUAACACAUGCAAGUCGAACGGUAACAGGAAGCAGCUUGCUGCUUCGCUGACGAGUGGCGGACGGGUGAGUAAUGUCUGGGAAACUGCCUGAUGGAGGGGGAUAACUACUGGAAACGGUAGCUAAUACCGCAUAACGUCGCAAGACCAAAGAGGGGGACCUUCGGGCCUCUUGCCAUCGGAUGUGCCCAGAUGGGAUUAGCUUGUUGGUGGGGUAACGGCUCACCAAGGCGACGAUCCCUAGCUGGUCUGAGAGGAUGACCAGCCACACUGGAACUGAGACACGGUCCAGACUCCUACGGGAGCAGCAGUGGGGAAUAUUGCACAAUGGGCGCAAGCCUGAUGCAGCCAUGCCGCGUGUAUGAAGAAGGCCUUCGGGUUGUAAAGUACUUUCAGCGGGGAGGAAGGGAGUAAAGUUAAUACCUUUGCUCAUUGACGUUACCCGCAGAAGAAGCACCGGCUAACUCCGUGCCAGCAGCCGCGGUAAUACGGAGGGUGCAAGCGUUAAUCGGAAUUACUGGGCGUAAAGCGCACGCAGGCGGUUUGUUAAGUCAGAUGUGAAAUCCCCGGGCUCAACCUGGGAACUGCAUCUGAUACUGGCAAGCUUGAGUCUCGUAGAGGGGGGUAGAAUUCCAGGUGUAGCGGUGAAAUGCGUAGAGAUCUGGAGGAAUACCGGUGGCGAAGGCGGCCCCCUGGACGAAGACUGACGCUCAGGUGCGAAAGCGUGGGGAGCAAACAGGAUUAGAUACCCUGGUAGUCCACGCCGUAAACGAUGUCGACUUGGAGGUUGUGCCCUUGAGGCGUGGCUUCCGGAGCUAACGCGUUAAGUCGACCGCCUGGGGAGUACGGCCGCAAGGUUAAAACUCAAAUGAAUUGACGGGGGCCCGCACAAGCGGUGGAGCAUGUGGUUUAAUUCGAUGCAACGCGAAGAACCUUACCUGGUCUUGACAUCCACGGAAGUUUUCAGAGAUGAGAAUGUGCCUUCGGGAACCGUGAGACAGGUGCUGCAUGGCUGUCGUCAGCUCGUGUUGUGAAAUGUUGGGUUAAGUCCCGCAACGAGCGCAACCCUUAUCCUUUGUUGCCAGCGGUCCGGCCGGGAACUCAAAGGAGACUGCCAGUGAUAAACUGGAGGAAGGUGGGGAUGACGUCAAGUCAUCAUGGCCCUUACGACCAGGGCUACACACGUGCUACAAUGGCGCAUACAAAGAGAAGCGACCUCGCGAGAGCAAGCGGACCUCAUAAAGUGCGUCGUAGUCCGGAUUGGAGUCUGCAACUCGACUCCAUGAAGUCGGAAUCGCUAGUAAUCGUGGAUCAGAAUGCCACGGUGAAUACGUUCCCGGGCCUUGUACACACCGCCCGUCACACCAUGGGAGUGGGUUGCAAAAGAAGUAGGUAGCUUAACCUUCGGGAGGGCGCUUACCACUUUGUGAUUCAUGACUGGGGUGAAGUCGUAACAAGGUAACCGUAGGGGAACCUGCGGUUGGAUCACCU